GCCGCCGGCCUCCUCCCUUGCUGCCCAGCCCGCAGCCGAGAAGUCCUAGGCGGAGGAGGAGGACCCCUUCGCUGCCAACUACGGCGACGUCCCCGUCGAGGAGAUCCAGUCCAAGGCCUCGCGGCUAAAACCCUAGCCCCGUCGCCGCCGUCCGUCCGUCCGUACUCCUCACCGCAGCCAGCCAGGUUCAGAUCUCGAGGACUUCCGGCCACGAUGGAAGACUGGGCUGCAAAGAGGUGCUAUAAUUCGAGAUGAUGUGCAAAGAGGUUAUGCCCUUUAACAACAAAGGACAGCUGAAGGAAGCUUUCAAUAUCAGGUACCUGUGGUGCGAUGCAUGCGGCUCUGAUUGGUAGGAGUACUUGGAUCAAUAUUUGGAGUAUACUUGGAGUAAUCUGGAGCAGUAAUAUGUAAUAUGUAUCUUGUUUCAAUAUAUUUUUGAAUAUUUGGAGCAAGAGUACAGAAAGAGUAUAGUUCCUGUGCAGUAAUCUGUAUCUUGUUUCAGUAUUUGGAGACUGAUGAUGUACUAGUCCUUGCACUAGUACAACAGAUGUGUUGAUGUGCUCUUGCUUGCAGUGCUUGCACUACUGAAUGAACUGUUGUUCCAUGGUCACAGGGAUCAAAUGAAGAGUGAAUUUGUUUUUAUUCUGAA